rnacentral:rRNA from 1 species
GGACUACCAGGGUAUCUAAUCCUGUUCGCUCCCCACGCUUUCGCUCCUCAGCGUCAGAACAGGUCCAGAGAGCCGCCUUCGCCACCGGUGUUCCUCCUGAUAUCUGCGCAUUUCACCGCUACACCAGGAAUUCCACUCUCCCCUACCUGCCUCUAGCCUGCCCGUAUCGGCAGCAAGCCCACAGUUAAGCUGCAGGUUUUCACAACCGACGCGACAAGCCACCUACGAGCUCUUUACGCCCAAUAAAUCCGGACAACGCUCGCUCCCUACGUCUUACCGCGGCGGCUGGCAC